GGGGAUUUAGCUUAGCGGUGAAGUACCUGCCUUGCAAGCAGGCAGUCGUGAGUUCGAUCCCCA
rnacentral:tRNA from 1 species